GAUGAAGAACGCAGCGAAAUGCGAUACUUGGUGUGAAUUGCAGAAUCCCGUGAAUCAUCGAGUCUUUGAACGCAAGUUGCGCCCGAAGCCAUUAGGCCGAGGGCACGCCUGCCUGGGCGUCACACGUCGUUGCCCCCCCCAUCUACUCCUUCGGGAUUGCGGGGGGCGGAUGAUGGCCUCCCGUGCGCCUCGCCGCGCGGUUGGCAUAAAUGCCAAGUCCUCGGCGACGCACGCCACGACAAUCGGUGGUUGCGAAACCUCGGUUGCCCGUCGUGUGCGGUCGUCGCGCAUCGAGGGCUCGAAAAAAUUGCCGAGUUCCGGCUCGGCUUUCAACGCGACCCCAGGUCAGGCGGGGUUACCCGCUGAAUUUAAGCAUAUCAAUAAGCGGAGGA
rnacentral:misc_RNA from 1 species